GGAGGUUGAGGCUGCAGUGAGUCGAGAUCAUGUCACUGCACUCUAGCCUGGGCAACACAGCGAGACCCUGUCUUAAAAAAAAAUCAGCAUUUUUGGUAGAGUCGUUUGGUCUUGAAAAUAACUAUUGGCCGGGUGUGGUGGCUCACGCCUGUACACCUUGGGAGGCCAAGGCGGGCGGAUCACCUGAGGUCAGGAGUUCAAGACCAGCCUGACAAACAUGGGGAAACCCUGACCCCGUCUCUACUGAAAAUACAAAAUUAGCCGGGCGUAGUGGCGCAUGCCUGUAAUGCCAGCUACUCCGGAGGCUGAGGCAGGAGAAUCGCUUGAACCCGGGAGGCGGAGGCGGAGGUUGUGGUGAGCCGAGAUUGCGCCAUUGCACUCCAGCCUGAGCAACAAGAGCGAAACUCUGUCUCAAAAAAAAAAAAACUAAAAUGCCCGUCCUGCGCGGCU
rnacentral:lncRNA from 10 species